CCUACGUGGUGCAGCAGUGGGGAAUAUUGGACAAUGGGCGAAAGCCUGAUCCAGCCAUGCCGCGUGUGUGAAGAAGGCCUUCGGGUUGUAAAGCACUUUCAGUGGGGAAGAAAGCCUUGGGGCUAAUACCCUCGAGGAAGGACAUCACCCACAGAAGAAGCACCGGCUAACUCCGUGCCAGCAGCCGCGGUAAUACGGAGGGUGCGAGCGUUAAUCGGAAUUACUGGGCGUAAAGCGCGCGUAGGCGGUCUGAUAAGCCGGUUGUGAAAGCCCCGGGCUCAACCUGGGAACGGCAUCCGGAACUGUCCGGCUAGAGUGCAGGAGAGGAAGGUAGAAUUCCCGGUGUAGCGGUGAAAUGCGUAGAGAGCGGGAGGAAUACCAGUGGCGAAGGCGGCCUUCUGGACUGACACUGACGCUGAGGUGCGAAAGCGUGGGUAGCAAACAGGAUUAGAUACCCCGGUAGUC
rnacentral:rRNA from 1 species